AACGCAGCGAAGGGCGAUAAGUAAUGUGAAUUGCAGAAUUCAGUGAAUCAUCGAAUCUUUGAACGCACAUUGCGCCCCUUGGUAUUCCGGAGGGCAUGCCUGUUCGAGCGUCAUUUCAACCCUCAAGCUCUGCUUGGUAUUGGGCCUCGCCAGUAAAAUGGCGGGCUUUAAAAUCAGUGUGCGGUGCCGUUGGGUCCUGAGCGUAGUAAUUUUUCUCGCUACAGGUUCCCCGCGUGCCUCUGCCAUUAAACCCCCAAUUUUCUAUGGUUGACCUCGGAUCAGGUAGGGAUACCCGCUGAACUUAA
rnacentral:rRNA from 1 species